GAAAUGUAGGGCGCGUUGCGCUCUGUUGCACGGUGUUUUGUGGGGUGCUGUGACUUGGAUCACCCGCGCACACGCCCUUGGGUUGCAUGGACCGCGCACCUUGACGCACAAGCCUUGCUGCACGUUGCUGCCGAGUUCACCGGUAGCGAUGCUUCCGCCGGCAAAGCCUGUUUGAAUGCAAAGCUGCAACACUGGCUGUGUGCUGAGGUGAAAACUGGGGAGGAGGCGGUGCUGCGUGCUGAGUGUGGACGUACGCGCGCGUGGUGGUGUGAGUGGAG
rnacentral:lncRNA from 1 species